rnacentral:rRNA from 1 species
AUGCAAGUCGAACGAGAAUCUACUGAAAGAGUUUUCGGACAAUGGAUGUAGAGGAAAGUGGCGGACGGGUGAGUAACGCGUGAGGAACCUGCCUUGAAGAGGGGGACAACAGUUGGAAACGACUGCUAAUACCGCAUAACGCAUAGGGGUCGCAUGAUCUUUAUGCCAAAGAUUUAUUGCUUCAAGAUGGCCUCGCGUCUGAUUAGCUAGUUGGCAGGGUAACGGCCCACCAAGGCGACGAUCAGUAGCCGGACUGAGAGGUUGAACGGCCACAUUGGGACUGAGAUACGGCCCAGACUCCUACGGGAGGCAGCAGUGGGGAAUAUUGGGCAAUGGGCGCAAGCCUGACCCAGCAACGCCGCGUGAAGGAAGAAGGCUUUCGGGUUGUAAACUUCUUUUAAGAGGGAAGAGUAGAAGACGGUACCUCUAGAAUAAGCCACGGCUAACUACGUGCCAGCAGCCGCGGUAAUACGUAGGUGGCAAGCGUUGUCCGGAUUUACUGGGUGUAAAGGGCGUGCAGCCGGGUCUGCAAGUCAGAUGUGAAAUCCAUGGGCUCAACCCAUGAACUGCAUUUGAAACUGUAGAUCUUGAGUGUCGGAGGGGCAAUCGGAAUUCCUAGUGUAGCGGUGAAAUGCGUAGAUAUUAGGAGGAACACCAGUGGCGAAGGCGGAUUGCUGGACGAUAACUGACGGUGAGGCGCGAAAGUGUGGGGAGCAAACAGGAUUAGAUACCCUGGUAGUCCACACUGUAAACGAUGAAUACUAGGUGUGCGGGGACUGACCCCCUGCGUGCCGCAGUAAACACAAUAAGUAUUCCACCUGGGGAGUACGAUCGCAAGGUUGAAACUCAAAGGAAUUGACGGGGGCCCGCACAAGCGGUGGAUUAUGUGGUUUAAUU